rnacentral:rRNA from 1 species
UACGUAGGGUGCAAGCGUUGUCCGGAAUUAUUGGGCGUAAAGAGCUCGUAGGCGGCUCGUUGCGUCGGCUGUGAAAACCCGCAGCUCAACUGUGGGCUUGCAGCUGAUACGGGCGGGCUGGAGUUCGGUAGGGGAGACUGGAAUUCCUGGUGUAGCGGUGAAAUGCGCAGAUAUCAGGAGGAACACCGGUGGCGAAGGCGGGUCUCUGGGCCGAUACUGACGCUGAGGAGCGAAAGCGUGGGGAGCGAACAGG